rnacentral:rRNA from 1 species
UUAGUGGCGGACGGGUGAGUAACGCGUGGGGAACCUGCCUUGCACCGGGGGAUAACACUUAGAAUAGGUGCUAAUACCGCAUAAGCGCACAGAGCCGCAUGGCUCGGUUGUGAAAAACUCCGGUGGUGCAAGAUGGACCCGCGUCUGAUUAGCUGGUUGGCGGGGUAACGGCCCACCAAGGCGACGAUCAGUAGCCGGCCUGAGAGGGUGAACGGCCACAUUGGGACUGAGACACGGCCCAAACUCCUACGGGAGGCAGCAG